GCCCGACAGGCAUGAAGGAAGCAGUGGUUAAUUUCCUCAACAGAUCACAUCGUAUUCGUGACAAAGCAUGCCCAACAGGCUUGAAGGAAGCAGUGGUUAAUUUCCUCAACAGAUCACAUCGUAUUCGUGACAAAGGGGCUGCGUGAAUUGCAUUUGCCUUCAUUUCAAUCACGUACUGUAAGUUCCAUGUGUGUUCAUUUGGAGUUCCGAAUAUUACGUCAGCCAUUAUGACCUGAAGACUUGAGGAGAACAGCAAACAAGGAACUGCGCAAAUUCAGGGCUCGAAACUAACGAUUGCCCGAUUGCCCGGGGCAAGUAGCGAUGGCAGAGGGGCAAGUAGAAAUUUUUCCUCACUUGCCCGAACUUGCCCUGCCAUAAUACCAUGUUUUCAAGCUGUAAAAACACGAUUUUGUGCAUAAUUUCUCGCAACUUCUGCCGCUUCUGGUCCGACAUUUUGUUUUCUAGGGAGCGUGUAAGUCUGCAAUACAUUGAUAACGGCAAAGCGCUUCGUAAUUAAAUGCAUGCUCCCUCACUCGUCCCUGGCUCUUCUGCGCCUGCGCACCAGCAGAGCUUGUUUCCGGUUGGCGGAUACGAAGGCAUAUGAAGGCAAAAC